rnacentral:rRNA from 1 species
AGCGUAGACGGUGUGGCAAGUCUGAUGUGAAAGGCAUGGGCUCAACCUGUGGACUGCAUUGGAAACUGUCAUACUUGAGUGCCGGAGAGGUAAGCGGAAUUCCUAGUGUAGCGGUGAAAUGCGUAGAUAUUAGGAGGAACACCAGUGGCGAAGGCGGCUUACUGGACGGUAACUGACGUUGAGGCUGAAAGCGUGGGGAGCAAACA